rnacentral:rRNA from 1 species
AGCAAGCGGACCAAGGCAUACACAGCGGCCGAGGACAAGCUUCUUUGUGAGUGUUGGAGAGACAUUGGGCAAGACACCAAAAUAGGCGCCGAACAAAAGGCAUCAAGCUUUUGGAGCUCCAUGAGCGCAAGAAGUUUCCGCCAUACCAAAUAG